rnacentral:lncRNA from 1 species
AUUGUUAUGCACAAUUACCUCCCAGUGGAUGAUAGCUUCUUUCAUCAUUGAAGAAGCGGUAUAUUUACAUUUUGUAAUUUGGACGUUGCAUAGCUUGGUCAAUAAUGACAAGGAAAUUGAGUGAUUUUACAAGUCCAAAUUCUGCAACCCCAAGUUUUGUUUUAUUUAUUUAUCCCUACAAUUGCAUAUAGGUUUCUCUAUCUUGAUUGUAAAUGCUCACUGAUGAAUAAGUAUAUAUACUCAUACAUUUUCGUAAGGAAAUUCAUUGAAUUAUAUGUUUUGGUUCUUUGGAUCAGUAUCGGGGUUCCUUUGAAUGUGGUUCUUUCUGACUGGAUGAUAACUGUGGGAGCAAAUUUUUCCAUGAGAAUAUUCGCCUAAGAUUCCUUCGUCUUCUCUGCUUCUCUUUCUCCCUGCAAAACAAAUCGGAGUAAAAGGACCACACCCAGGGGGUGUUGGCCAAAGGCCCUCCAAUGCCUAAGUUAGGUUGGGUGUUUCGAGGAAAACCGGGUGGUCGGAGUCAUGUGUGGUGGUCGGAGCCUUGUGUGUGAGAGAGAAAGAAUAUGGUGGCUAGGGUUUUGGAGAAAUAAUUUCUGCAGAGUUUCAGUGGGAAUUUAGUUGUACCUCAACCCUUGUGUAUGACCAUCUUUUUAUAGUGAUCUCAGAGGCUAGGGUUUCAAAAGAAUAAUUCCGCAGAUGGAAAAAGAAUAUUCCUCCUCGAUUUGGAAUUGAUUUGAUUAAUUAAGGAUUUGAUUUGUUAGGGUAAGUCAAAUCCCUAAUUGUGGUAUGAAUCAAAUCAACUCCCAAUUUAAUUAGGUAACUCCUCAUUUAUUUGGGAAUUGUGGU